AAUCAAUCCCCGGCGUCCGUUCUUUCGACAACGCUUGGGUAGCACAGGGAAGGCCGUGAAAACCGGCCACAGUUGCGCUACGGUAACGCAUCAGACCAGACUUCCACCCGCCGCAUUCCGCGCGCGGGGCAACGCCAAUCGGGUUCACAUCCGGUGAAGGCCAGAAGCGAGGCAGAAGCGCGGCGACAGCCGCGCUUCGACACAUGCGGAGUCCGAACAUCUGGCUGCCAUGAGUUCUCACA
rnacentral:ncRNA from 2 species